GCAGGCAGUGGAGUCAACAGCCACCUUAGACAGUAACAGCAGUAUACUGUAGGUACGGGUAAAGGAUAGAUAAUAGACAGUAACAGCAGUAUACUGUAGGUAGGGGUAAAGGAUAGAUAAUAGACAGUAACAGCAGUAUACUGUAGGUAGGGGUAAAGGAUAGAUAAUAGACAGUAACAGCAGUAUACUGUAGGUAGGGGUAAAGGAUAGAUAAUAGACAGUAACAGCAGUAUACUGUAGGUAGGGGUAAAGGAUAGAUAAUAGACAGUAACAGCAGUAUACUGUAGGUAGGGGUAAAGGAUAGAUAAUAGACAGUAACAGCAGUAUACUGUAGGUUGGGGUAAAGGAUAGAUAAUAGACAGUAACAGCAGUAUACUGUAGGUAGGGGUAAAGGAUAGAUAAUAGACAGUAACAGCAGUAUACUGUAGGUAGGGGUAAAGGAUAGAUAAUAGACAGUAACAGCAGUAUACUGUAGGUAGGGGUAAAGGAUAGAUAAUAGACAGUAACAGCAGUAUACUGUAGGUAGGGGUAAAGGAUAGAUAAUAGACAGUAACAGCAGUAUACUGUAGGUAGGGGUAAAGGAUAGAUAAUAGACAGUAACAGCAGUAUACUGUAGGUAGGGGUAAAGGAUAGAUAAUAGACAGUAACAGCAGUAUACUGUAGGUAGGGGUAAAGGAUAGAUAAUAGACAGUAACAGCAGUAUACUGUAGGUAGGGGUAAAUGAUAG